rnacentral:lncRNA from 1 species
GUAGUAUCACAUUUUGGAACUUUAGCACAGUUACCACACCUAUUAUCAAAGAGACAAAGGAUGCUCUAGUCCAAUUUAGCUACAGAUUGGGGCCAACGUACUGUCAAGUUGCUGCUCAGCUUCAGUUCAAGGUAUAGUGCAACUAAAUCACAAAGAUGUUCUAUAGAUUUGUCCAAAUAAGAGAAGAAGAAACAAGUAGACAUAUGCUAAAAUAAAUAAACAACAAAUGGUUUCUUUUAAAGUCUAUGUACAGAAAACAAUAAGAUACAUUUUCCUCCUAUGACUCAUCUGCCUAUUCAUGCAACUUAUUACAUCUUCCUCAAACCUUUCACCAAGUGGUGUGUGCAAAAAGAAUGCUGCAUUAAAUUAUCUAAAAACUCUGAAACUAUCUAUUCGUGUACAUUUGUCACCUAGGCGUUAUUCCAAAAACUCUGUUGUGCCAUAUUGAAUGGAGAAUCAUGUUAAAAACAUCAUACUUCACAGGCUUGACGUGCCAAAGGAAAUGCUGCUGCACCAUCUUGACCCUUCUCUGCAUCUCCCGGUACCUCUUCUCUGGGAUUGAUACAAGUAUGUCUUUC